AUGAAAGAAACAAACGUAUUCAAUAAGCAAAAGGAGAGAGAGGGAUUCGAACCCUCGAUAGUUCCUAGAACUAUACCGGUUUUCAAGACCGGAGCUAUCAACCACUCACCAUCUCUCCACAGCCUAAUCCUUAUUUUACUCCUACAAAUAGAACAUAGCCAUAUAAACAAUAAAAAGACCAGCCUCAUGAAAAUCUUAUAUUCCCUGAGGAGGUUCUACCACGUGGAAACACUCUUUAAUGGAACUUUCGUUUUAGCUGGUCGUGACCAAGAAACCACUGGCUUUGCUUGGUGGGCUGGGAAUGCCAGACUUAUGAAUUUGUCCGGUAAACUACUUGGAGCUCAUGUAGCCCAUGAUGGAUUAAUCGUAUUCUGGGCCGGAGCAAUGAACCUAUUUGAAGUGGCCCAUUUCAUACCAGAAAAGCCCAUGUAUGAACAAGGGUUGAUUUUACUUCCACACUUAGCUACUCUAGGUUGGGAGUAG
rnacentral:rRNA from 1 species